ACGUUGAAACACCGGUUCUUGUACGAUCACCUAAGAUGAGCAACGUCGAGCCUGGUCAGUACUUAGAUGGGUGACCGCUUGGAAAUAUCAAGUACCGUCAG